rnacentral:misc_RNA from 1 species
CAAAAUGGCGUUGACCAAAAAGAAAGACGGUUCGCCAAAUGUUAAAUUCUUCGAAACUGUUGAAACAAUCGCACAAUUUGACUCCGUGAGAACAUGGCUGAACAAAAACUACAAAAAGUACAUGCAAGCAGACCCUCCCACGAACAAGAACCUUGCAAGUCUGGUGUGUCAGCUGCUUCAGUUCAUGGAAGAUGCGUUCGGGAAACACGUCAGCAACCCAGCGCUUACAAAGCUCCCUAUAAGAUGUUUCCUGGACUUUAAGCCUGGUGGUGCAUUAUGCCAUAUCUUGGCCGCUGUCUACAAAUUCAAGAGUGACCAGGGGUGGAGAAGGUUUGACUUUCAGUCCCCAUCAAGAAUGGACAGGAAUGUAGAAAUGUUCCUGCAGAUCGAGAAAACCCUUGUCCAGAACAAAUGUCUGAUCCUGCCCACCAUUUAUAUUAUGACUGACAUGGACAAGGUUCUUCUACCAAAACUGAAAGACAUCAUCAAACGUCACCAGGGAAACAUAACAGAGGAUGACGAGGAGGCGACACACAUUGUCCACGUCCUACCCACACACCCACCCACAGAAGAGGAGUUUAUUCGUCCUGUGAUGAAGCGUGACCGUAAUGCGAUGAUUCAUUGGUGGUACACCCCAGACAGUUACGACGUGUGGGUUCCAGACGUGUCCCCUGACCUGGAAAUCGACACCCCUCAGCACAGCGGGGCCCUGGAGGAACGUGAUGUGCUGUUUGGUUCUAUAUUUUCUUCAUAGAUAAUUAAUCAUAAUUAUUUUUUAAAGAAAACCUGUGUUAGUCUCCAAAUCUAUUAUAACAAGUCAGAAAAGGACAAAAACUUUUGAUAUAGGGUCAUACAUGUAAAUAACUGUGUAUAUUUUAUCCAUGUAAGACUUACUGUAUUCAAUAUUCAUAAGGUCACCUUAAAAAAUUGUUUGUACGGGUACUCUCCAGUCUUUAAACUGAUGGUGGGAAGAAAACUUUUUUUUGUUCUUAAAACUGUAUGCAAAAUUUUACAUUAAAUAGAAAAGUGAUGGGCAAACAACUGUAUAUUUAUUAAAAUGAUGAUGCUCAAAGUGUUUGUCAUAAAAUAUCUGAGAGAGGUCUCAUUGUCAGUCUUUAGAGGGCAAACAAAUAAUUUUGAAAGGUGUCCUUAUUUAUAAGUUUUUAAUGUUGGUGUACUGACCUGGGUGAUUCUGUGAAUCAGGUGACCGCGAAGUGGCUGCUGGACAUGGAGGAGUACAACGAGUGGAUGAAUGAGGAGGACUACCUCAUCGAGGAUGAGUAUGAAACAAGAAAAAACAAACGUCCAAAGAACAAAGUAACUGUGGAAGAGUUUAUAGCCAACCAGGAAAGUGACAAGAGGGAGAAACGAGACAAAAAGAGCAAACGGAAAAGAUCCCCCUCCCCCACACCCGCCCCAUCCUCGGAGAAAAAGAAAAGAAAGAGCACGAGGACUCCAGGAGGACCUGGGAACUCUAAGAAGAGGCUAAACAAGGAGGACACUGAUGAUGAUCUGACCCGGGACAUGGAAGAUCCCCUCCCAGAGACCAACAUACAGGAGGUCCAACUCUCAAAGCAGUCAAGCAGUAACCGUAGUAACAAGGACAGUGAGAACCAGCCAAUCAAAGGAGGAACGAUCAUAGACAUGGAUGAGGAGGCCACCGACAAGCUGAUUGGUGAGGAUAGAGGGGAUGAGGAAGGAGCAGACGAUGACUCCAAGCGAGAGAAAGAGGAUGAGGACAACGUGACUGAGCAGACCCAUCACAUCAUCAUACCCAGCUACUCGGCCUGGUUCGACUACAAUGCCAUUCACUCCAUUGAGAGGCGGGCCCUUCCGGAAUUCUUCAAUGGAAAGAACAAGUCGAAAACGCCAGAGAUAUACCUGGCCUACAGGAACUUUAUGCUGGACACAUACAGACUGAACCCCACAGAGUACUUGACAAGCACCGCCUGCAGAAGAAACUUGGCCGGGGAUGUGUGUGCCAUAAUGAGAGUCCAUGCUUUCCUGGAGCAGUGGGGCCUGAUUAACUAUCAGGUGGAUGUGGACAACAGAGCCACCGCCAUGGGCCCCCCACCCACCUCUCACUUCCACAUCAUGGCUGACACACCCUCAGGACUUCAACCCGUCAAUCCACCAAAAGUCAACCAGCCCUCAGCAGCAAAACAGAUUGUUAGCUUUGAUGACAAGGACAAAGAGAGGGACACAAGCGAGGGCCGGGAGCUCUCUGACUUCAGUCUACGCAUGGAUAUAUACGCCAAGAAAGCACUAAAAGACAAGGGAGCAGCCACCCGUUCUCGGGAAUGGACCGACCAGGAGACCCUGCUUCUGCUGGAGGGACUGGAGAUGUACAAAGACGACUGGAACAAAGUCAGUGAACAUGUUGGCAGUCGAACCCAGGACGAGUGUAUCCUUCACUUCCUCCGCUUGCCCAUUGAGGACCCAUUCCUGGAGGAGAGUGACUUCGGCCAUGCAGGACCCCUGGCGUACCAACCCAUCCCCUUCUCCCAGACAGGAAACCCCAUCAUGUCCACUGUGGCAUUCCUGGCCUCUGUCGUUGAUCCAAGAGUCGCCAGUGCAGCAGCUAAAUCAGCUCUGGAGGAGUUUUCAAAGAUGAAGGACGAGGUACCCCCUGCCCUUACUGAUGCUCAUGUCAAAAUGGUGGAGGAUGCAAACAAAGAGGGCAAGUCUCUGGACGCUGAGUUUGGUCUCGAGAAGAGUGGCAUUGCAGGAACUGUCCCCGAGAAAGAGGAAGAAGAGGCAGUGAAAGAAGAGGAGGAAAAGAAAGAAGAAGAAGAAAAGACAGAGGAAAAGAAGGAGGAGGACAAGGAAGAAAAGAAAGAGGAAGCCAUGGAAACAGAUGCCCAGGACAAUGAAGAAAAGAAAGAGGAGGAGAAACCAGAGAAAGAAAAUGAAGAAGAAAAGGCAGAGAGUAAGACAGAGUCUGAGACCAAAGAGGAAACAGAGGAGAAGAAACCAGAGGAAGAGAAAGAGACAGAGGAACAAAUCCAGGAGAAAGUCAGCAAGGCAGUGGCCAAGAUCCCCAUCAAGCCAGACGGCAAUGUGGCAACGGCUGCUGCCGCAGCAUUAGCGUCAGCUGCCGUGAAGGCCAAGCACUUAGCAGCUGUCGAGGAGAGGAAGAUAAAGAGUUUAGUGGCAUUGCUGGUUGAGACACAAAUGAAGAAACUGGAGAUUAAGUUACGUCACUUUGAAGAGCUUGAAGCCAUCAUGGACAGGGAAAGAGAUGCAUUGGAGUACCAAAGACAGCAACUUCUACAAGAGAGGCAGCAGUUCCACAUGGAGCAGAUAAAGGCUGCAGAACACCGAGCCAGACAAAUAGCCAUGCAGCAAAUGGUGACCGAGCAGAGACAGCAGAAUAUUGGGGCAGGGGACCAAGCCUCAGGACCUGGAGGCCCAGUAAUGACAGCUAACCCCAGUUUGGCAGCAGCUGUGGGACAGAGCUACCCCCUGUCUGGCUCCCCAAUGCCCCCUCAGGGACCCCAGGCCACCCAGGGCUCUCCUGCCCCUCCCCCACCAGCCUCACAGCCCCCGGCUGCCCAGCCGGUCACUGGCACAGCAGAGGGGGACCUCUCAGCACCAGCCUCAUCCAAUGAUGUCCAGGCCGAGCCUAUGAGUACUGACCCUCCCCAGACCACUGUCCACCCCCCACAGAACAUGAUGGGCACCAGUCCUGUCUCCUAACAUCACAGAAGUCAUCGCCAUCAUCUUCAAUCAUCGGCCGCUGCUUUUAUCAUAGUAAACUUGUAUAAAGGUGCUUAUCAUGCGAAGACUGUUGAACAGAUAGAGGAUACUGAUGUUGUGUUCCCGUGCUAACCGUGUAUUGACUGUCGUAGUGGUGAAGAUCUGUGUUCUUGUGCUGCAUGUAUUCAUGGCCCCACUGUCAUCAACAUGAAUCUCCAACCAAUCAGUGAACUCUGUCAUAUUUCUUGUAGUAUGUUGUAAUAAAGUUUUUUGUCAAAC